CGUAGGUGGCAAGCGUUGUCCGGAUUUAUGGGUUUAAAGGGUGCGUAGGCGGCCUGUAAGUCAGUGGUGAAAUUAUCUCAGCUUAACUGAGAGGGUGCCAUUGAUACUGCGGGGCUUGAGUACAGAUGAGGUAGGCGGAAUUGACGGUGUAGCGGUGAAAUGCAUAGAUAUCGUCAAGAACACCGAUAGCGAAGGCAGCUUACCAAGCUGUAACUGACGCUGAGGCACGAAAGUGUGGGGAUCAAACAGGAUUAGAUACCCUGGUAGUCCACACUGUAAACGUUGAUGACUCGAUGUUGGCGAUACACAGCCAGCGUCCAAGAGCAAUCGUUAAGUCAUCCACCUGGGGAGUACGCCGGCAACGGUG
rnacentral:rRNA from 1 species